CUACUGGCAUCGAGAGGUGUCAGGAUGGGUAAACAGAAGUCAGCAGAAGCCAUACUAGUUGCACGCAACCGGUGCAAUGAAGGGC
rnacentral:ncRNA from 1 species